rnacentral:rRNA from 1 species
UGAUCCUGCCGGACCCGACUGCUAUCGGAGUGGGACUAAGCCAUGCGAGUCGAACGCCUCCAGACCAUGUUGGAGACGUGGCGUACGGCUCAGUAACACGUAGUCAACCUAACCUGGAGACGCGGACAACCCCGGGAAACUGGGACUAAUCCGCGAUAGACCAAGACAUCUGGAAGGAGUCUUGAUCCAAAGGGAUGUGUGAGCAUGUUUACACAUUCGCUUCAGGAUGGGACUGCGGCCGAUCAGGUUGUUGGCGGGGUAAUGGCCCACCAAGCCUAUAACCGGUACGGGCUUUGAGAGAAGGAGCCCGGAGAUGGACACUGAGACAAGGGUCCAGGUCCUACGGGGCGCAGCAGGCGCGAAACCUUCGCAAUAUGCGAAAGCAUGACGAGGCUACUCCGAGUGCCCUUCGCUAAGAAGGGCUUUUCCCAGGCGUAAAUAACCUGGGGAAUAAGGGGAGGGCAAGUCUGGUGUCAGCCGCCGCGGUAAUACCAGCUCCUCGAGUGGUCGGGACGAUUAUUGGGCCUAAAGCAUCCGUAGCCUGCUCCGUAGGUCUUCUGUUAAAUCCAACGGCUCAACCGUUGGGCCGCAGGAGAUACCACGGGGCUAGGAGGCGGGGGAGGCCGACGGUACUCCAUGGGUAGGGGUAAAAUCCUCUGAUCCAUGGAAGACCACCAGUGGCGUAGGCGGUCGGGCCAGAACGCGCUCGACGGUGAGGGAUGAAAGCUGGGGGAGCGAACCCGGAUUAGAUACCCGGGUAGUCCCAGCUGUAAACGAUGCGGGCUAGGUGAUGGAGCGGCUACGAGCCGCUCCGGUGCCGCAGGGAAGCCGUUAAGCCCGCCGCCUGGGGAGUACGGUCGCAAGACUGAAACUUAAAGGAAUUGGCGGGGGAGCACCACAAGGGGUGAAGCCUGCGGUUCAAUUGGAGUCAACGCCGGGAACCUUACCGGGAGCGACAGCAGGAUGAAGGCCAGGCUGAAGACUUUACCAGACGAGCUGAGAGGAGGUGCAUGGCCGUCGCCAGCUCGUGCCGUGAGGCGUCCUGUUAAGUCAGGCAACGAGCGAGACCCCCACUAGUAAUUGCUACCAUCAUCCGAAAGGGUGGCGGGGCUAGUUACUGGGACUGCCGUCGCUAAGACGGAGGAAGGAGGGGGCCACGGCAGGUCAGUAUGCCCCGAAACUCCCGGGCCACACGCGGGCUGCAAUGGUAGGGACAAUGGGUUCCGAACUCGAAAGAGGAAGGCAAUCCCCAAACCCUACCCCAGUUGUGACUGAGGGCUGCAACCCGCCCUCACGAAUCUGGAAUCCCUAGUAACCGCGUGUCACCACCGCGCGGUGAAUACGUCCCUGCUCCUGCACACACCG